UAAAGUGACGUGUUUCACUAAUUACACUCCACAAGAGCAAACACUGGGCACAGGACUGAAAGCCAAGCCUACCUGAGUUCACUCUGAGCCACUGGAUCCUCCUUUCACUCCUCCUCCUCUCACCUUCACUCAUCUCUCCUUACAGAACAACAUUUAAGGAGAAAAUUUUCGGUUAAAACUUCGGUUAAAAUUUUCGGUUAAAAACUUCGGUUCCGGAAGUCUUGAGUCGACUCCUCAGCUGAUUCAGUGAGUCGAUUCACUUCACUUCGCUUCAGUUGACUGAGCUUUAUUCAGAGUCUCUGUGUCUCUGUCAAGAUUCAUUUCCUGGAAUUUUCUCCUCAGUCUGUCGAGACCGAAAAAGUCUGAAGGAAAAGGAAUCAGCUGAAACUUACAGCAGUUGUGUGAGUGGAAUGAGGACGAUGGGAUCAGUUUCGUGGUGAAAGAACAAAUGAAGGCAGGAGUUUGUUCAGAUCCCGAAGCAGGAGAUGAGAAUGUGAUUUACAGGAACAUGGAACACAUCUCACACCCUUUCCAGGAAACCAGAUGUGCUUUGAACACCAACAUGCUUUCAGCAGCUCUGCUGUGGGAAACACCCUACUGGGUUCUAGCACCGGUUCUCUUUGGAUCCUUCCUCAGUUCCCUCUGUUUUAUCCUUUAUUCUCUUUAAACAGUUACAUGUUCAAUUUAAAAUCUCACAUCCAUACUGAGAUCACCUUCUACAGACUACUGGCUCUACAUUUAUGAUUUACAAUUAUUUCGACGGGCGGCAUGGUGGUGUAGUGGUUAGCGCUGUUGCCUCACAGCAAGAAGGUCCGGGUUCGAGCCCCGUGGUCGGUGAGGGCCUUUCUGUGUGGAGUUUGCAUGUUCUCCCCGUGUCCGGGUGGGUUUCCUCUGGGUUCUCCGGUUUCCCCCACAGUCCAUAGACAUGCAGGUUAGGUUAACUGGUGACUUUAAAUUGACCAUAGGUGUGAAUGGUUGUCUGUGUCUAUGUGUCAGCCCUGUGAUGACCUGGCGACUUGUCCAGGGUGUACCCCGCCUUUCGCCCGUAGUCAGCUGGGAUAGGCUCCAGCUUGCCUGCGACCCUGUAGAAGGAUAAAGCGGCUAGAGAUAAUGAGAUGAGAUGAGUUUGUUCAUUUCACAUAUUUCUGCGGAGUCAUUGAGUUUUGAACUGCUCUUUUGUCUCAAAUGACACAACAACUGAAUAACUUUUUUGCAUAUAAUCGGCAACCUUUCCUGAAGAUACUGAAUAGGAGGAUUAUCUGGAUUUGGUUGGAAAAUUUCCCUGCUUUUGUGCACAGAAUAAAGUCAAUUUAUUUGUAUCGACCUUUUCACAAUCGACAUUGCUGCAAAGCAGCUUGAGAGAAAAAUAGAUUUUAAACAUACAGUAUGAAGUAAUAAAUUUCUCCCUGAUGAACAAGCCUGAGAUGACGGUGGUGAGGGAAAAGGCACUGAGACAACAUCAGGAAGGAACCUGGAGAGGAACCAGAUUCAAAAGGGAACCCAUUCUCAUUUGGAUGAUAAGAUAGUAUGAUUAAAAAUAAAUUCCUUUCGUGCUUUCAAAUGUGGCCUGGUAUCUUUAAUACAGUACAUACCUGAGCUAACAGCCUCACCCUAUAUUUAAAAUAACUUUGGCAGUGCUUCAUCUUUAGAUUCAGUCUUGAAUCAGCCCCAGCAAGCAUUGUUAGGAACAUAAAAACAAAUGUGCAGAGGGUGAAUGGGUUGCAGUUUGUAAAAGAUUUUAUGCAGCACACAUUCACAGUAAGAGCAUCUUUGUUCUGUUGAUUUUCUCACAGAAAAUAGCAUUUUGAUAAGCACUGAAAAACCAAUUAAAGGCCCUCUCCUGGGAUCCAAACUAUUCAAAGAGAACCUGCUUGUUUUGAAUUUUGUUUCUCAAAACAGUAGUAUGGCUGCUGGAGUCGUUCCCCAAGAGCAGGUGGUAAUUAUUAUCCUGUAUCUUAUUUACCUAAAACAUCUGUAGUUCAGGGCACGCCAUCAUGCCUUUGUGCGGUGGCUGCAGCAGCUCUCCUGGUCACUGAUGGUGAGAAACUGGCCCUCUCUCACACCCUCAUCUUUCACACUUCUCAUCAGUUCUCAUCAAUUCCACUUUGGUAGCUGAUCUUGCUGAUGUUUGCUCAAAGCCUAUUUACUUAGCUGUCAUCGAGGUUAAACGGCAUGACAUUUCUAACACACAAGUACAGUAGCUCAGGGUAAUGGGUUGGCAGAUGAAGUGGUUAAAUGGGCAGCCAAAAAGGGCACGUCCUUACCUCAUGUUUGCACGGUCGCUGUGUAUUUCAUGUUUAGUAAUGUGCUCACUCCUGGCACUGAUGUUGCUUUUCUCCAAUCUAGACCCACAGAAUGUGACUUGACACACUGGCAGAAGUGUGCCGAAGGCCCUGAUGCCUGUUGAGGGACUUUACACAAUGUCUAGCGUUCCCGGCUUCUGUGUUACCAUUCCUCAUGUAACAUUAUCACGGUGUUUCUCAUGUCACCUGGAGAGGGGUAAUUAAGAACAUCAAACCAGAGGUGGAAAGAGUACUAAAAUAUUAUACUCAAGUACAAGUACUGUUACUCUGAUGAAAUUUUACUUAAGUACAAGUAAAGUUACCAGACAAAAAAUCUACUCAAGUAAAAGUAAAAAGUAGAUCAUUUAAAAUGUACUUUGAGUAAAAGUAAAACGUUACUUUUAACAAUGGGUGUUUUCUGCCUCCAUUGUGUUGUGCAAAAAUGAAAAAGAAGAGGAAACAAGGAUAUAUGUACAUCUCAACCCAGAUGUUUUAUUUAAAGGAAGUGUAUCAAAUUGAAUGCUUAGGAUAAUGCUGCAUUAAAACUGAGACAAACAAAAAAGGUCAAUACACACAGUCAUGUCGUUUACAUCGCCCUGACCACACACAAAGCAUUGUACACGAAAUAUGAAAGUGAAAUGUCGCACCGAAAUCUUGUAGCUUGCCUGUGUGCACUGUGUGUUAUUGAACAAUUCAAUUCAAACAUUAUUUGUUUUGCUUAGUAUUCCUUUCUGGCCUGUUGGACGUAGAAUGGUAGGAGGACUGAUCACGUCAGGUUGGCGAGCUAACUUGCUUGCAUGAUUAGCCAACCGAAUAACAGACUAGUUACCAUUAUGUUACAGUACCAACAGGUUGCUACUUCAACAUUAGCAAUGCCAUCCACUAUUUUUGGAAUAUAACCAGCCUAUUGUCAGUUUUACUAUGGAAAGGAAACAUUAUGAUCAGGGGUGCAGAUACAUUUUUUGAACUGGGGGGGACAAAAAACUGGGGGGGACAAAGCUGCCAGCAAACCAACCCCGAUAUGCCUGUCAAACUUGUUGUGGGUAACCAUAGCAACCAAGCUCGAGCUCGCAACCUGUGCAGUCUGCGCAGCUCAACCAACCGAAUAUCAGUCUUUGUUUUGUUUUAUGUGAGUUGUUGCAACUAUGUAUGUACUGCUGUGCACCUCAAUAAACCGAAUGGUAAUUAGUCUUUUGAUUUUUCCGUGAGGUUUGCCUUAUGCAAUGAAAGACAGCAUAGACAUUUUUUCCUUCCUAUAAGUGGGGGGGACCGAACGAGGUGAAUUUAAAUCUGGGUGGGACGAAUCCCACCCGUCCCACCCUCUAUCUGCGCCCGUGAUUAUGAUGCCAAUGACAAUACUUACCUCAACAUGCUUGCGCAGAUUAGAUGUUGAAUUUUUGUAUGCCGCAAUGGUUGUCUUCUUGGGCACACAUAAUCUGCAUUGCAUAAUGAAACUGUCACCCCUUUUCUCUACGAAGCUGAAGUGAUCACGUAUGUAGGGCCAGGGGUGCACUUCAUUACUGGAAGAAAUUGCGUUUUCUGCAGGGUCGUCCACCACAGGUUCCUCGGUCUCCUCCAUGUCCGCAGGGGCACUUUAUCAACACCCGUGGCCCAGGGGCUAGGCCCCUCAUAGGCUACCUGUCAACCCUACCCUUACCGUUGGCCAGGAAAACACUCUUAUUUUAUUUGCAAUACGUGUCAAGCAUUUACAUUGUAAGCGCGUAAUUAGCCUAGAAGCCUACGAUAGGUUACGUUUGGCUCAGCAUAGCUGCGCAAGGCCCACGCUCACAUCGCUCAACACAUCCGACCACAGAGGGAGAGAAUAAUGCGUGCAUUAUCAUUACAGAGCCGGUUGUGAUUAUUACCACGGACAGGACAGUGAUACUGCGUAACUUUCACACAGGGGCAUGGCCAGAGAUAACCACACAAGCGCGCGUGUGCUAUAAUGUAGACCUAUGUGUUGUAAACAUAAAACACACACACCUACAGACAAGUCCUUUUAAAAAAUAAAAUACAUAAAAAUAGCUCGGCGGCAUGAAAACAAACAUUCACUGCAAGUCAAGGUACUUGGCUCGGCGGCCGCAUGAAACGUAAACACCAUGGACAGCGGCCAAACUCAUAACUCUACAGACCGAAAUACACGAAACCAAGUCCUACUAGGGUCUAUUUUACCAAUCUAUGUUCAAGCAUCAUGCAAGUCUUCCUUCUCCUUGAAUGAGACCGUGCAUUCAACUGCCUUUUUGACAUGACUGCAUCGAAAUACCACUUGCAACAAUAUUUCACGCACUCCAUCAAGAAAAAAGUUAAACAUGAUGAACACGGGCAUACUGUUUUGAGCAUACGAUUUUUUAAAAAGAAACUAGCUACAUCAAAGUCCUUCAAUAAACCCAUCCUUUAGCGCAAAUGAGCUUAACCUAGUUCAAAGCAUGACACUAGCAGUAGCUGCAUAAGGCAAAAUCGUGUGGGCCUUUCGUCAACGACAAGCCACGGCGGGGAAACAUUAAUAAUCAAGUGUCCUUACCUUAAAACGUUGUCUUGACCACAGAACUUCUCAAGUAUUUCACUUAAAUCCACACGGGUUAACAACACACCCAACACAGCUAGCGAGAAAUGUGGAUAUGCGCUAGCUUUGUAUUGCUAUUCCCCUCAGUAUGCUUACUCUGUCUGCUGCCCGAACUGUGACAAUUAUAGGCUACAAUCUUUUCAUCAAUUUCUUCAGUAGAUGCCAUUUUAGACAUUUUAUUAUCCCCAUCGAAAUAUGCUAUUAUACUAACAGGAUUAUAACUCAAAUCACACAACACGUAUUCAAAUCACAACUGAUUUAUUUUACUGUUGGACAGAUCAUAGCAUAUCUAGCCUAGCUACACAUAGCCUAGCUGCUGGUAGGCUGAUAACUGAUAAGUAGCUGAUAUUCUGAACAGAUUGGUGAUCCUUACCUUAAAAAAGUCUGUGACUUUAGGCAACAAUUCUAUCAUUACCUGCAUCUCUCUCUUUUUUUUCCUUUUAUGCGCCCUGCUAACACGUGAACGCUUCAUCUUUCAAAGCCUCUAAAUUUAUGUCUCUGUAGUCAGUAGUCUUUGGCGCGCUUUCGUGCGUGACGUUACAUUUUGUUAUAUUUUAUUCUGGUCCAGUUGUGGGUGUUCGUUUCGCGAACCACAUCCACCAUGUCUCUUACAGCAGGCUACUGUGCGCUCAUUUAUUUCUAACCUUAUUUCUAUCCGUACAUUAAUGUAGGCCCAUGAUUCCGACAGUUUAUUAUUUUAUUAAUAUUACAAGGCCCCUGAUUGGCUGUGGCCCAGGGGCUUGAGCCCCCCGAACCCCCCCCUUAAAGCGCCGGUGCAUGUCCGCCAUCGUCUGUGUGAGACUCGCGCGCGCGACAACUGUCCUUCCCGUGAUUCAUUUCCAGAACGCAUUUCCCCUUCUCCGUUUUAGCCUUUUUUAAAUUUUUUAUUUAUUUAUUUUUUUACUCAAUAACGGUUGUGAUGUAAAAUGUACCGAAGUACACUACUUAAAAGAAAACAUACUUAAGUAAAAGUAAAAGUACACUCUUUAAAAAUUACUUGAAAAAGUAUAAGUACACAAAAAAGCUACUCAAGUACAGUAACGCGAGUAAUGUAAUUCGUUACUUUCCACCUCUGCAUCAAACAACUAUUCUGCAUUACAGAUCUGAGCUUAAACUGUAAAUUUGCUACUACAUACCUGCCUUGUAUGUGCCAGGACCAACCAACCUGGAAAAAUGUCUAAGCAUGAUGCUUCACCUCGUGCCCCAUUCCAGUACCUGCAAGUUGAUUUCACUCAUAUGCCACCCAUAGGCAACUUAAAAUACAUGCUGUUCAUUGUUGACAGACUCUCAAAAUGGGUUGAAACUCUUCCUUGUUGUAAAAAAAUGCUAAAAAAAAUGAUCAAGGCUCCGUUCUUGUGCUGACGCUCUUCUCCAUCUUCUGUAGCAUGAUGCUACACCAGGCCAUGGAAGAGCUUGGUGAGGAUGAUGGCAUCUACAAGACAGAGGUGCUUCACCAACUUGCAUCUCGCAAGGUGUAUCAGCCUCGCAUCUGCCCAACUGAACUAAACUCGGUCCAGCAGUUCACUUACCUAGGCUACACAAUCUCAUCGUAUGCCAAGAUUGACAAGGAGAUCGACAACAGGCUUGCCAAAGCAAACAGCGCCUUUGGCAGGCUCCAGAAAAGAAUCUGGGGUAACAAGGACCUAAAGAAGAACACCAAGGUCCUUGUGUACCACGCUGUGGUCCUGACCACUCUCUGUUACGGCUCUGAGGCCUGGGUCACCACCACCGCCACCUGCGCCUCCUUGAGCGCUUCCAUCAGCGCUGUCUUCGCUCCAUUCUUAACAUCCAUUGGCGUGACUACAUCAUGAAUGUUGAGGUCCUACAGAGGGCGGAGGCCACCAUUCUUGAGGCCAUGCUACUAAAGUCACAGGUGCAAUGGGCUGGACAUGUGUCCAGAAUGGAAGAUUAUUGAUUACCCAAGAUUGUCUUGCACGGGGAGCUGUCCUCUGGCUGUCGAAACCCAGGGGCCCCAGUCAAGACGUAUAAAGCUCUCCUGAAGGCUUCCCUAAAGAUCUGCAACAUCAACCCCAACUCCAAGACAUGUCUUGCUUCAGAUCGUGACAGAUGGUGAAAAACUGUUUACAGUGCUGUCAGUUCCUUUGAGGAUGAUUGGAGAGCAAACCUGGAGGACAAAAGGAGCAGAAGGAAAAAUAAACCAAUCACUGCUCCCAACCCUGAUUUCAUGCUGGCCUGCAACGUCUGUGGCUGAACGUGUCUGUCGAGGAUAGGUCUCAUCAGUCAUAAGAGAGCCUGUAGCCGACGUGGACAUUCCCCCUCAUAAAUAUUCAUUUGCGAAUCAAUGCCAAGAGAGAGAGAAGAUAUAUAUAUAAGAAGAAAACGUCAAACCAAGAAGCCUUUAUUGGUCACAUGUACACUCAAGCAUAGACUCAGCACACAGUGAAAUUUAACCUCUGCAUUUAACCCAUCUGAAGCAGUUAACACACACACACAUACAUACAAAUGAGCAAUGAGCACACACACAUACCCACAGUAGUGAGCAACUAUGCUACAUCACCCGGGGAGCAGUUGUGGGUUAAGUGCAUGAAGGGCACUUCAGUACAACCUCAGCACUGUGGCUGCUCCAUGUUAACCUAACUGCAUGUCUUUGGACUGUGGGGGAAACCGAAGCACCGAAGUGACGUGUUUCACUAAUUACACUCCACAAGAGCAAACACUGGGCACAGGACUGAAAGCCAAGCCUACCUGAGUUCACUCUGAGCCACUGGAUCCUCCUUUCACUCCUCCUCCUCUCACCUUCACUCAUCUCUCCUUACAGAACACCAUUUAAGGAGAAAAUUUUCGGUUAAAACUUCGGUUAAAAUUUUCGGUUAAAAACUUCGGUUCCGGAAGUCUUGAGUCGACUCCUCAGCUGAUUCAGUGAGUCGAUUCACUUCACUUCGCUUCAGUUGACUGAGCUUUAUUCAGAGUCUCUGUGUCUCUGUCAAGAUUCAUUUCCUGGAAUUUUCUCCUCAGUCUGUCGAGACCGAAAAAGUCUGAAGGAAAAGGAAUCAGCUGAAACUUACAGCAGUUGUGUGAGUGGAACAAGGACGAUGGGAUCAGUUUCGUGGUGAAAGAACAAAUGAAGGCAGGAGUUUGUUCAGAUCCCGAAGCAGGAGAUGAGAAUGUGAUUUACAGGAACAUGGAACACAUCUCACACCCUUUCCAGGAAACCAGAUGUGCUUUGAACACCAACAUGCUUUCAGCAACACUGCUGUGGGAAACACCCUGCUGGGUUCUAGCACCGGUUCUCUUUGGAUCCUUCCUCAGUUCCCUCUGUUUUAUCCUUUAUUCUCUUUAAGCAGUUACAUGUUCACUUUAAAAUCUCACAUCCAUACUGAGAUCACCUUCUACAGACUACUGGCUCUACAUUUAUGAUUUACAAUUAUUUCGACGGGCAGCACGGUGGUGUAGUGGUUAGCGCUGUUGCCUCACAGCAAGAAGGUCCUGAGUUCGAGCCUCGUGGCGGGCAAGGGCCUUUCUGUGUGGAUUUUGCAUGUUCUCCCCGUGUCCGUGUGGGUUUCCUCCACAGUCCAAAGACAUGCAGGUUAGGUUAACAGGUGAAAAUUGACCAUCGGUGUGAGUGUGAAUGGUUGUCUGUGUCUAUGUGUCAGCCCUGUGAUGACCUGGCGGCUUGUCCAGGGUGUACCCCGCCCGUAGUCAGCUGGGAUAGGCUCCAGCUUGGCUGCGACCCUGUAGAACAGGAUAAAGCGGCUAGAGAUAAUGAGAUGAGAUUAAUUAUUUUGACUUCACUCAUCAUUUCCACAUCUAUCUAUCUAUCUAUCUAUCGUCGUGGAAAAAUGGCAAACACCAACACCAGUCUCGUCCUUUUGCAAGAGAAAGAAGGUUUAUUACAGAAACGGACAAGUGAUGAGGGUUCGGCACACCCCUCAUACCAUCUCCUUUGUUCUCAAAUCUAUAUAUACUCUUUACUAGAUAAAAAGGAGACAUCUAUUGCAUUACAUCAUUGCAAUUACAUGCCCUGAUCACGCGCUGGGUGCAUGAUCAGCUCUAAAGCUGAUUGGAUCGUCUCUAAUCGUUGGCUUGUAUGCACAUCUACACGCGUCUGCUACGCACGUAACAAGCAUGAUAAGAUGAACAUGUUUCAGUGCCAAAUGUUCUGAAUCAUUAGUCCUUGAAGAGGCAACACUCAGUGAAAAGGAAAAUUACAAAACAGUAUGACACUAAAAUUUACUCUACAUUAUCUAUCAAUCUGUCUAUCUAUCUUCACAGUUAUUUCCAGAAAAAUAUUGGUUCUGGAACAGUUCACUCUUUCUGAGCCACUAAUGUGUGUGUGUGUGUGUGUGUGGUGGUGGUGUUGUACUAUAAUGAGCAUAAUUGAGUGGAUUAUACCAGUAGAGGGGAGCAGAGCCGGUCCUGCAAAACAAGCUGUCUGUUUUCUAAAACAGUGAAUAAUCUGACUGUAAUGUGAAGUGUUUCACAAGGGAUGAAUCAGUAAACAAGCCUGCAGCUGUUAGCUAUCGGGGCACCAAUAAAGUAUUUGUUUAAUAAAGCCAGUUUGUGGAGACUUGUCCAGGGUGUACCCCACCUUUCACCCGUAGUCAGCUGGGAUAGGCUCCAGCUUGCCUGCGACCCUGCAGAACAGGAUAAAGCGGCUAGAGAUAAUGAGAGAUGAGAUGAGAUGAGAUGAAAGCCAGUUUGUUAAUUUCACAUAUUUCUAUAAAGUCGUUGAGUUUUGAACUGCUUUUUUGUCUCAAAUGACACAACAAAUGAAUAACUUUUUUUCCAUACAAUCGGCAACCUUUCCUGAAGAUACUGAGUAGAAGGAUUGUCUGGAUGUGGUUGGAAAAUUUCCCGGCUUUUGUGCACAGAAUAAAGUCAAUUUAUUUCUAUAGAGCUUUUCACAAUUGACAUUGCUGCAAAGCAGCUUGAGAGAAAAAUAGAUUUUAAACAUACAGUAUGAAGUAAUAAAUUUCUCCCUGAUGAACAAGCCUGAGAUGACGGUGGUGAGGGAAAAGGCGCUGAGACGACAUCAGGAAGAAUCCUGGAGAGGAACCAGAUUCAAAAGGGAACCCAUUCUCAUUUGGAUGAUAAGAUAGCAUGAUUAAAAAUAAAUUCCUUUCGUGCUUUCAAA